GUUUGAUCCUGGCUCAGAACGAACGCUGGCGGCAGGCCUAACACAUGCAAGUCGAACGAAGUAGCAAUACUUAGUGGCAGACGGGUGAGUAACAUGUGGGUAUCUACCCUUUGGCCUGGAAUAACACGAGGAAACUUGUGCUAAUACCGGAUAAGUCUUUACGGAGAAAGCUUUAUGCACCAUUGGAUGAGCCCGCACUUGAUUAGUUUGUUGGUGGGGUAAUGGCCUACCAAGACUGUGAUCAAUAGCUGAUUUGAGAGGAUGAUCAGCCACAUUGGGACUGAGACACGGCCCAAACUCCUACGGGAGGCAGCAGUGGGGAAUCUUGCACAAUGGAGGAAACUCUGAUGCAGCGAUGCCGCGUGAGUGAAGAAGGCCUUUGGGUUGUAAAGCUCUUUCGUCGGGGAAGAAAAUGACUGUACCCGAAUAAGAAGGUCCGGCUAACUUCGUGCCAGCAGCCGCGGUAAUACGAAGGGACCUAGCGUAGUUCGGAAUUACUGGGCUUAAAGAGUUCGUAGGUGGUUGAAAAAGUUAGUGGUGAAAUCCCAGAGCUUAACUCUGGAACUGCCAUUAAAACUUUUCAGCUAGAGUAUGAUAGAGGAAAGCAGAAUUUCUAGUGUAGAGGUGAAAUUCGUAGAUAUUAGAAAGAAUACCAAUUGCGAAGGCAGCUUUCUGGAUCAUUACUGACACUGAGGAACGAAAGCAUGGGUAGCGAAGAGGAUUAGAUACCCUCGUAGUCCAUGCCGUAAACGAUGUGUGUUAGACGUUGGAAAUUUAUUUUCAGUGUCGCAGGGAAACCGAUAAACACACCGCCUGGGGAGUACGACCGCAAGGUUAAAACUCAAAUGAAUUGACGGGGACCCGCACAAGCGGUGGAGCAUGUGGUUUAAUUCGAUGCAACGCGAAGAACCUUACCUGGUCUUGACAUCCUGCGAACUUUCUAGAAAUAGAUUGGUGCCUUCGGGAACGCAGUGACAGGUGCUGCAUGGCUGUCGUCAGCUCGUGUCGUGAGAUGUUGGGUUAAGUCCCGCAACGAGCGCAACCCU
rnacentral:rRNA from 1 species